rnacentral:rRNA from 1 species
CCUACGGGAGGCAGCAGUGGGGAAUUGUUCGCAAUGGGCGCAAGCCUGACGACGCAACGCCGCGUGGAGGAUGAAGAUCUUCGGGUCGUAAACUCCUGUCGAGCGGGACGAACGGCCCGUGGGCCAAUACCCCACGGGAGUGACGGUACCGCGAGAGGAAGCCCCGGCUAACUCCGUGCCAGCAGCCGCGGUAAUACGGGGGGGGCGAGCGUUGUUCGGAAUUACUGGGCGUAAAGGGCGCGUAGGCGGCCGGCUCAGUCAGACGUGAAAUCCCUCGGCUCAACCGGGGAACUGCGUCUGAUACGGGGGGGCUCGAAUCCGGGAGAGGGAAGUGGAAUUCCAGGUGUAGCGGUGAAAUGCGUAGAUAUCUGGAGGAACACCGGUGGCGAAGGCGACUUCCUGGACCGGUAUUGACGCUGAGGCGCGAAAGCCAGGGGAGCAAACGGGAUUAGAUACCCCUGUAGU